rnacentral:rRNA from 1 species
UACCCGCGGCCCGAGUGGUGCUCAUUAUUAUUGAGCCUAAAGCGUCCGUAGCUGGCCGGGCAAAUCUCCGGGUAAAUCGGGCCGCUCAACGGUCCGAAUUCCGGAGACACUGCUCGGCUUGGGAUCGGGAGAGGGUGAAGGUACUCCCGGGGUAGGGGUAAAAUCCUGUAAUCCUGGGGGGACCACCAGUGGCGAAGGCGUUCACCUAGAACGAAUCCGACAGUGAGGGACGAAGCCCUAGGGCGCAAACGGGAUUAGAUACCCCGGUAGUCUAGGGUGUAAACGCUGCAGACUUGGUGUUGGGGGUCCUGCGUGGGCUCCCAGUGCCGGAGCGAAGGUGUUGAGUCUGCCGCUUGGGGAGUACGGUCGCAAGACUGAAACUUAAAGGAAUUGGCGGGAGAGCACCGCAACGGGAGGAGCGUGCGGUUCAAUUGGAUUCAACGCCGGAAAACUCACCGGAGGCGACGGAGGGAUGAAAGCCAGGCUGAAGACCUUGCCCGAUUCUCCGAGAGGUGGUGCAUGGCCGUCGUCAGUUCGUACCGUAAGGCGUUCUGUUAAGUCAGAUAACGAACGAGACCCUCGCCGUUAGUCGCAAUCUUACAAGCGAUUGUAGGAGCACACUAGCGGGAUCGCUGCCGUUAAGGCAGAGGAAGGAGAGGUCUACGGUAGGUCCGUAUGCCCCGAAUCUUCCGGGCAACACGCGCGCUACAAAGGUGGGGACAAUGGGACCCGACCUCGAAAGGGGGAGGCAAUCCUGAAACCCCAUCGUAGUCUGGAUCGAGGGCUGUAACUCGCCCUCGUGAAAAUGGAUUCCGUAGUAAUCGCGGGUCAACAUCCCGCGGUGAAUGUGCCCCUGCUCUU